CCAUGCCGCGUGCAGGAAGACGGCCCUACGGGUUGUAAACUGCUUUUGUACCGGAAUAAACCUAUCUAUGUAUAGAUAGCUGAAUGUACGGUAAGAAUAAGGAUCGGCUAACUCCGUGCCAGCAGCCGCGGUAAUA
rnacentral:rRNA from 1 species